rnacentral:rRNA from 1 species
AGUGAACGCUGGCGGUAGGCCUAACACAUGCCAGUCGAACGGCAGCACAGUAAGAGCUUGCUCUUACGGGUGGCGAGUGGCGGACGGGUGAGGAAUACAUCGGAAUCUACUUUUUCGUGGGGGAUAACGUAGGGAAACUUACGCUAAUACCGCAUACGACCUACGGGUGAAAGCAGGGGAUCUUCGGACCUUGCGCGAUUGAAUGAGCCGAUGUCGGAUUAGCUAGUUGGCGGGGUAAAGGCCCACCAAGGCGACGAUCCGUAGCUGGUCUGAGAGGAUGAUCAGCAACACUGGAACUGAGACACGGUCCAGACUCCUACGGGAGGCAGCAGUGGGGAAUACUGGACAAUGGGCGCAAGCCUGAUCCAGCCAUACCGCGUGGGUGAAGAAGGCCUUCGGGUUGUAAAGCCCUUUUGUUGGGAAAGAAAAGCAGCAGGUUAAUACCCCGCUGUUCUGACGGUACCCAAAGAAUAAGCACCGGCUAACUUCGUG